CUCUGUGACUCCUACGGGAGGCAGCAGUGGGGAAUAUUGCACAAUGGGCGCAAGCCUGAUGCAGCCAUGCCGCGUGUGUGAAGAAGGCCUUCGGGUUGUAAAGCACUUUCAGUUGUGAGGAAGGUGGUGUCGUUAAUAGCGGCAUCAUUUGACGUUAGCAACAGAAGAAGCACCGGCUAACUCCGUGCCAGCAGCCGCGGUAAUACGGAGGAUGCGAGCGUUAAUCGGAAUUACUGGGCGUAAAGCGCAUGCAGGUGGUUUGUUAAGUCAGAUGUGAAAGCCCGGGGCUCAACCUCGGAACUGCAUUUGAAACUGGCAGACUAGAGUACUGUAGAGGGGGUAGAAUUUCAGGUGUAGCGGUGAAAUGCGUAGAGAUCUGAAGGAAUACCGGUGGCGAAGGCGGCCCCCUGGACAGAUACUGACACUCAGAUGCGAAAGCGUGGGGAGCAAACAGGAUUAGAUACCCUGGUAG
rnacentral:rRNA from 1 species